GACGAACGCUGGCGGCGUGCUUAACACAUGCAAGUCGAACGGAAAGGCCCUGCUUGCAGGGUACUCGAGUGGCGAACGGGUGAGUAACACGUGGGUGAUCUGCCCUGCACUUCGGGAUAAGCCUUGGAAACUGGGUCUAAUACCGGAUAGGAGCCAUUUUUAGUGUGAUGGUUGGAAAGUUUUUUCGGUGUAGGAUGAGCUCGCGGCCUAUCAGCUUGUUGGUGGGGUAAUGGCCUACCAAGGCGGCGACGGGUAGCCGGCCUGAGAGGGUGGACGGCCACAUUGGGACUGAGAUACGGCCCAGAAUCCUACGAGAGGCAGCAGUGGGGAAUAUUGCACAAUGGGCGGAAGCCUGAUGCAGCGACGCCGCGUGGGGGAUGACGGCCUUCGGGUUGUAAACUCCUUUCGCUAUGGAUGAAGCUUUUUGUGACGGUACCUAGAUAAGAAGCACCGGCUAACUACGUG
rnacentral:rRNA from 1 species